GUGGAAAGGCCCAGACAGCCAGGAGGUUGGCUUAGAAGCAGCCACCCUUUAAAGAAAGCGUAAUAGCUCACUGGUCGAGUCGGUCUGCGCGGAAGAUGUAACGGGGCUCAAACCAUACACCGAAGCUGCGGAUUCAGUACAGUUUACUGUGCUGGGUGGUAGAGGAGCGUUCUGUAAGCCGAUGAAGGUCAAGCUGAAAGGCAGGCUGGAGGUAUCAGAAGUGCGAAUGCUGACAUGAGUAACGAUAAAGGGGGUGAGAAGCCCCCUCGCCGGAAGACCAAGGGUUCCUGCGCAACGCUAAUCGGCGCAGGGUGAGUCGGCCCCUAAGGUGAGGUCGAAAGACGUAAUCGAUGGGAAACGGGUUAAUAUUCCCGUACCGGUUGUAACUGCGAUGGAGUGACGGAGAAGGGUAGGCCGGCCUGGCGAUGGUUGUCCAGGUUUAAGGCAGUAGGCAGUGGGACCAGGCAAAUCCGGUUUCAUAAUGCUGAGAGCUGAUGACGAGGUCACUAAGGUGACUGAAGUGGUUGAUCCCAUGCUUCCAGGAAAAACUUCUAAGCGUCAGGUUACAAACGACCGUACCCCAAACCGACACAGGUGGUCAGGUAGAGAAUACCAAGGCGCUUGAGAGAACUCGGGUGAAGGAACUAGGCAAAAUGGCACCGUAACUUCGGGAGAAGGUGCGCCGCUGAUGGUGAUGGGACUUGCUCCUUAAGCUGUCGGCGGUCGAAGAUACCAGGUGGCUGCGACUGUUUAUCAAAAACAUAGCACUCUGCAAACACGUAAGUGGAAGUAUAGGGUGUGACCCCUGCCCGGUGCCGGAAGGUUAAUUGAUGGGGUUAGUUUUCGGACGAAGCUCUUGAUCGAAGCCCCGGUGAACGGCGGCCGUAACUAUAACGGUCCUAAGGUAGCGAAAUUCCUUGUCGGGUAAGUUCCGACCUGCACGAAUGGCGUAACGAUGGCCACACUGUCUCCACCCGAGACUCAGUGAAAUUGAAUUUGCUGUGAAGAUGCAGUGUACCCGCGGCUAGACGGAAAGACCCCGUGCACCUUUACUACAGCUUUGCACUGAACUUUGAACUUAUUUGUGUAGGAUAGGUGGGAGACUUUGAAACGCAGGCGCUAGCUUGCGUGGAGUCACCCUUGAAAUACCACCCUGGUAAGUUUGAGGUUCUAACCUUGGUCCGUUAUCCGGAUUAGGGACAGUGUAUGGUGGGUAGUUUGACUGGGGCGGUCUCCUCCCAAAGAGUAACGGAGGAGCACGAAGGUACUCUCGGCAUGGUCGGAAAUCAUGCUAUGAGUGUAAAGGCAUAAGAGUGCUUGACUGCGAGAUUGACGAAUCGAGCAGGUGGGAAACCAGGUCUUAGUGAUCCGGUGGCACUGCAUGGU
rnacentral:rRNA from 1 species